UGGGGAAUCUUGCGCAAUGGGCGAAAGCCUGACGCAGCCAUGCCGCGUGUAUGAUGAAGGUCUUAGGAUUGUAAAAUACUUUCACCGGUGAAGAUAAUGACUGUAGCCGGAGAAGAAGCCCCGGCUAACUUCGUGCCAGCAGCCGCGGUAAUACGAAGGGGGCUAGCGUUGCUCGGAAUUACUGGGCGUAAAGGGAGCGUAGGCGGACAUUUAAGUCAGGGGUGAAAUCCCGGAGCUCAACUCCGGAACUGCCCUUGAUACUGGGUGUCUUGAGUGUGAGAGAGGUAUGUGGAACUCCGAGUGUAGAGGUGAAAUUCGUAGAUAUUCGGAAGAACACCAGUGGCGAAGGCGACAUACUGGCUCAUUACUGACGCUGAGGCUCGAAAGCGUGGGGAGCAAACAGG
rnacentral:rRNA from 1 species